rnacentral:rRNA from 1 species
GACGAACGCUGGCGGCGUGCUUAACACAUGCAAGUCGAGCGGUAAGGCCCUUUCGGGGGUACACGAGCGGCGAACGGGUGAGUAACACGUGGGUGACCUGCCCUCAGCUCUGGGAUAAGCCUGGGAAACUGGGUCUAAUACCGGAUAUGACUCCAUGACGCAUGUUGUGGGGUGGAAAGCCUUGUGCGGCUGAGGAUGGGGCCCGCGGCCUAUCAGUCUUGGUUGGGUGGGGU